rnacentral:rRNA from 1 species
AGUGAACGCUGGCGGUAGGCCUAACACAUGCCAGUCGAACGGCAGCACAGUAAGAGCUUGCUCUUACGGGUGGCGAGUGGCGGACGGGUGAGGAAUACAUCGGAAUCUACUUUUUCGUGGGGGAUAACGUAGGGAAACUUACGCUAAUACCGCAUCCGACCUACGGGUGAAAGCAGUGGAUCUUCGGACCUUGCGCGAUUGAAUGAGCCGAUGUCGGAUUAGCUAGUUGGCGGGUUAAAGGCCCACCAAGGCGACGAUCCGUAGCUGGUCUGAGAGGAUGAUCAGCCACAUGGGAACUGAGACACGGUCCAGACUCCUGCGGGAGGCAGCAGUGGGGAAUAUUGGACAAUGGGCGCAAGCCUGAUCCAGCCAUACCGCGUGGGUGAAGAAGGCCUUCGGGUUGUAAAGCCCUUUUGUUGGGAAAGAAAAGCAGCAGGUUAAUACCCCGCUGUUCUGACGGUACCCAAAGAAUAAGCACCGGCUAACUUCGUG